UACGAAGGGUGCAAGCGUUAAUCGGAAUUACUGGGCGUAAAGCGUGCGUAGGUGGUUUGUUAAGUCUGAUGUGAAAGCCCUGGGCUCAACCUGGGAAUUGCAUUGGAUACUGGCAGGCUAGAGUGCGGUAGAGGAUGGCGGAAUUCCCGGUGUAGCAGUGAAAUGCGUAGAGAUCGGGAGGAACAUCUGUGGCGAAGGCGGCCAUCUGGACCAGCACUGACACUGAGGCGCGAAAGCGUGGGGAGCAAACAGG
rnacentral:rRNA from 1 species